AAGGAUAUGUUUCAGUGGUAGGGCGCAUGCCUAGCAUACAUGAGGUCCUGGGUUCAAUCCCCAGUAUCCCCA
rnacentral:tRNA from 1 species